GAGGGUGUGACUCAGUGGUAGAGCACGUGCUUAGCUUGCCCAAGGUCCUGGGUUCAAUCCCCAGUACCUCCA
rfam:Camelus ferus unplaced genomic scaffold scaffold701, whole genome shotgun sequence.